GACAGAGGAUGCAAGCGUUAUCCGGAAUGAUUGGGCGUAAAGCGUCUGUAGGUGGCUUUUCAAGUCCGCCGUCAAAUCCCAGGGCUCAACCCUGGACAGGCGGUGGAAACUACCAAGCUGGAGUACGGUAGGGGCAGAGGGCUCGUAGAGCCGGUGGAGCGGUGAAAUGCGCAGAUAUCGGGAGGAACACCAAUGGCGAAGGCAGCUCGCUGGGACGUGACUGACGCUGAGACGCGAAAGCGUGGGAGCAAACAGG
rnacentral:rRNA from 1 species